rnacentral:rRNA from 1 species
UGAGGAAUAUUGGACAAUGGAGGAAACUCUGAUCCAGCCAUGCCGCGUGAGUGAAGAAGGCCUUCGGGUUGUAAAGCUCUUUUACCCCUGACGAUAAUGACGGUAAGGGGAGAAAAAGCCACGGCUAACUUCGUGCCAGCAGCCGCGGUAAUACGAAGGUGGCAAGCGUUGUUCGGAUUUACUGGGCGUAAAGAGUGCGUAGGCGGUUUAACAAGUCAGGAGUGAAAUCCCGGGGCUCAACCCCGGAAUUGCUUUUGAAACUGUUUUAACUUGAAUCCGGUAGAGGUUGGCGGAAUUCUCAGUGUAGAGGUGAAAUUCGCAGAUAUUGAGAGGAACACCAGUGGCGUAAGCGGCCAACUGGACCGGUAUUGACGCUGAGGCACGAAAGUAUGGGUAGCAAAC